ensembl:lncRNA
AACUUUGCAGAGGUUCUGUCGCCCAGUGAGCCGACCGGAACCGACCCGGAACACUCGUCUCAGAAACGGAUAAAAAGUCUACUCGACCGUACAGAAGCGGAUCAGGUCCUGGUACCGGUCGUGCUGGCUCCGGUCCCGGUGCUUCAGCUGGCCCACGAUGUGUCUCUUCCAGGCCUCCGUCGACCGGGCCCGGGGCAGCGCGGGCGCCGCGUCCCGGCCGCCGUGCCGCGGGACUCGGGGUGAAUCCGCCAUGACUGCGCGCGGCCCGGGCAGCCUCCUGCGGUCUCCCCGCUGACAGACGCCCCUACACCGGCACGGAGCUACAGGCGGCCGCGUGGUGAGCGUCGGGUUCUCCGCCCCGCCGCCAUGUUGCUCGCUCUUCUUCCUCCUCCUCCUCUCUGGUGUUUGUUGUUGUUGUUGUUCUCACUAUCUUUCCUAGAGAUGUGUCACUGACAGGAGGCGGGGCUGCAAACUGCCGGGUCUUUCAGCCAAUCAACGCCCGCCGUUCGUUUCCGGGUUACAUUUGAGACGGCAGACAGGACACGCCCCCCUAAAGGAGACGCCGGGGUUUUAACGUCAUUGAUCAUUUCAUUUUCAUAAAUAAAUAUUUGUUGUUUAGUAAAGACAAAUUUAAACAGCCGUUUGUCAAUCAAAUAACACAAAAUAGCCUUUUGGCUGUAUUUAUUUAAAUAAAUAAUCAUAGUGAGGUAUAAGGAAUAGGCGGGUUAUAGAAGCAAAAGAAAGAAAUAUUGAACUUUGACACAUUUAUUAAGGAACAUAUAAAACAAGGAUUUAUGUACAAUGAUUGCGAUUCAAAACACUUAAAAACAGAUGAAAUGUCACAAAAACUAACUAAAAGGUGCUUUAAAUGUAAUACUGAUAAAGUGAGGGUUGUCCUCUCUCUUAGCGUUGGUCCCGGAUCAGAGCCGGUUCAGCUUGUUCUGGGUCAUCUGAACCAGCAGGUGCACGGCUCGUCUCGCCGUCUGUCUCAGCUCGUUGGCGAUCUGCUGACAGUGCUGAAGACUGACAGACUGCUCCUCCUGCUGAUCGUCUUCACCUGUAAACACACACAGGGUUCAGCACGUACCAGAGUCCGUCCUCUCCGAUCAGCUCGGCCCAUGUGACAGGAAGUUACCCAGCUGAAGGAGGCGGGACUUCUCUGACAGAGGAGAGGAGGAGGAAGGCGGGCCGUCUGUUACGGAAGACAAAAAAGGUGUCAAGAGGUCAUUUAUGUAUUAUAAUAAAAUAUGAGGUAAGAUGUAAUUGAGAAAAAGUUAAAGAAAAUAAAUGUAUUUUGGAAAAGUUAAUUUAAUAUUAUGAAAAUAUACAUAUUUGUUUAGGGGCGGUCAACAUUAACUUGUAUUAACAUGUUAACUUAUGCCAGAGGUCACUAACUGGCGGAUCGCUGUCCGGAUCCACAAGCCGUCCCACAAGCUUAACAAAAAAUAAAGACAUGAUUUAAACGUGACAUCACACUUUUGUUCCGGCGCAGCUUUACUCGUCUUUACGCUCGUGGCUUAAAGCACCGACCAAUAGCAUUCGAGUCGUGAUGCUACUCGACCAAUCGGGUCUUUGCAUUCCAGCAGGAUGAUGAUAUCGUCUUAAUACUGCAGACAGACGAGAGACGCAGCGGCAAAUUAGAAAUAAAAAGACAGCGACAUUUGAGAAAAAGACGAGUGAGACGGAAAGAGACGGGUGAGACACAUGAGGAACAAGUGGACAGUGAAAGUCGAGCAUUUAAUCCUCAAUGGACGGACUGGUUUCUAUUCAUACUUCCCACUGCAGCACUGAACCAGUGUGUCAUGAGCUCAGAACCCGUUAAAACGUCAUCGUGAGGCACAAUGAGCUCCUCCACGUGAGAGGAGAUCGGCCCUGAUGCAUUAAGACCAGGUUUAACAUCCUGCAGGGAAAAUACAUCUUAAUUCUCCCACUCACCAAAAAAGAGUGUAUAUAUAUAUAUAUUCUAUUAUUGUCAAAAUGUGUUUAGAUUCAUUAUUUAGGAUUUGCUGACUGUUCAAUAAUGAAGCAGAAAUUCAAGCUUUUCAUUCUAGUUAUUUCAUUUUUCGUGUAUUGAUUAAAUGCAAAUGUUACACUAUUUAAUCACACUCGGUCACAUUAUGAUCUUCUGGACCUUCGCUUCUAGAAAUCUUCUUUAACGGCACCUCUUCAUAUUUUAGUUGAAUUUCCCUGCGUUAUGCGAUUAUGUGGCAGAGAUUAAUGCGAUAAAACAUUUUAACGCAGUUAUCACAACUUUGUUUACUUGCGGUGUGCCGGAGGUAAACAAAGAAACCGCCGCCAGCGGCAGUCAGUUAGAUGGAGAGAACGUUUGCAUUAGAAGAAAAACAGAAGAACUGUGCAGAGGAAUUCUUCCACAAACAGAAGGGGGACGAGUGCAAAUGGACCACUUUACGCACUGCGAGGCUAAGCUAGCUGCUAGGCUAAGCUAGCUGCUAGGCUACUUCCAUCUAACGUUACCCUGCAGAGGACCACCACUGUCAAAAAAAACAAACUUUUAAUCGCAAUUUAAUUUCAGAAUGAAUCAGUAAAUUAGUUUUAUUAAGUGAGAAUCACAAUGCGUUUGUAAUGAAUCAUAAAAACAAUGCCGUACCUCGACUAGUCGGGAUUCGGGUCUGGGAUCCUCCGGAACCUUCUCCCCGCCCCACGAAGUCAGACGGGUCGCUGUCACAGAAUGUGGGCGUGUCUGUGGCGGGGGAGGCGGGGCUGAGGGUGAAGGUCUGGUUGUGACUGGUCAGAGUCUCUUCGAUGCUGCUGAUGCUGCUCAACCUCCUGACUCCGCCCUCUGGCACCAGCGGGCUCGCCGUGGGUCGCCGUGACGACAGAGUGACGCUGACAGACGAGAGACGGGAAUUGAAUACACCUUCGUUAAAAUAUUACGUUAUUCAAAAAAUAUUUUCACCCAACUUCAAAACUGUUAACGAGGUGUCAAACUCGACCAAUUAAAAGUUUAAAUCUUGUAGAAGAAGUAAUCACUUUAGAACGUGUGUUUUAGACACUGUUGAAUUGUACUUUUAAAAAAUGACAAACAUUUCCCAUCAAACUGACUGCAGCAUGGCGGUUUUAGGGGUCAGGGGUCGUGAUAGAACUAUAUUAAUGUGUCCCUGCAGAUGGAGGGAGACGCCAUGAGGACACGGAUAUGCGCUGCGUCCCCAGCCUGCAGCCUUCUGGCUGAACCGAGCGUCUCUGGAAUGGGACGUCUGUCCUACGGGGGACUUCAUGAGUCAUCAGCUACUGCUCCUGUUGCCUAGCAACCUGCUGAGCUCGACAGUAAAAGUCUUAAAAGCCAAAUUACAGAAAAAUAUCUUAUUUCAUUUAAUUUAGGAAGAAAAGCUUCUCCUGCGGAGCUCGAUAUACUUCAGGCUGAGAGAAGAACCCAACUAAGUUAGUUUAAGAGUUCAGGUUCUGUGUCUUUAUUCUGUAACGAUACUGAAGUUAUGAACCUGAAAUAUCACUUUCUAAGAACGAGGACGAGUGACGUACGCGGUGGACCAAUCCGUCCUUAAGGAUGCAGCCUAGAGACACAGCUAUUGUGAGACGCCCACUAGGGAAGGCUGCAGAGAUCUGGACAGACAGGAGUCAUUGUGACACUGAUGGUAAAAGGUUUAGGACAAGACAAUGUAGAGACACCAGCUGUGGGACAACGGUCUCGUGUUUGUGUGCACAGACAGAACGGAGGGUCAGCAGACUGAGACCGUUAGUUUAGCAUCAACAACCAGAUAGAGGGACAAGGAGCAGAAGAGUGGGACGACAGGAGGAGACAUGAUGGACGGGUGGGUCCUCAGCUCCAGUCAGUGAGUGAGAGGACAAUUAGAAAAGAGUUCAAACUGAAUAAAUGAAUCCACAACAUAUCGCUCACAGUAAAUGAACUACUUUGGCAUUAGAGACAUUUAAGUCCCUUAAGACCUGGAGGACGUUACCUGCUGGUCUGGUCCUGAUGCUGGUCCAGACCAGCAGGAGAACACAGGUCUGAGGAGCACAUGUUCUCCUCCUCCUCCUGGGGGCCGAGGCUGGGGGGGGGGGUCCUGGGUCAGUUUGGCCCUGGAGCUGGCUGUGGUUCCCAGGUAGCCGAGCCGGAGCGCCCCCUGCUGGGCCGAUGAUGUCACCUGACUGGAGGUGACGUCUGGUUGGUGAAAGGAGAAUCAGGUGAGCUUUCACUUCUCAGUGGUCAUACGCUUCAGGGCCCACACCGCCAGGGGGAAGUGACGGACAGAUUGACCUCUGACCUUGUGAAGAAAGCCCGAAAACCAACCAACCAACCAACCAACCUCCCACACACACACACACACACACCUCGCAGUGCCUCUCUGCACUGGACGGCCACCAUGGAGUGUCGGCGGCGGCGUGUUGGGCGGCGAAGGGACUGAUGGGAAAUGAUGGAGGAGGCUGUACGACAAAGGACUGAGUGGCUGCGUUUCACUGAUGACACACACACACACACACGCACACACACACACACACACACGCACGCACACACCUCUGAAUAAUCCGCCAUGACCCGACGUGUUAUUUGACACAAAUUUGACUCCUCCCACUGGGGAGGCGGGACCUCUAGGACCAUGAUGCAUCGUGGGUAGUCAAUCAAACGCUGGCAGGGAAACUGAGGUGCAGACGUCCUGUUGACAGAUUCAACUCACCAACGUUGCUGCUGCUUUCUUUCCGAGGCGACUCCGUCAGGGCGCCGCCCCCUCUCGGCUCGGCGCCGACCUGUGGACAAACACCAGGUGUCAGAGAGCAGCGGAUCGGGUCAGCGGCGCCACGUGUGCUUCAGGCGCGCUCUACCGAUGUGUUGCUUACGCCGCUCUCUUCAGAGAUUCUGGACGGGAUGGUCACAGGGGGCGGAGCUCGGCUCGGCCACACCCUAAAAACAAGGCGGGAGAAGGUCUGUUAUCCCCAUGAGGACGGUUCACCGCCCCUGAGGAUUGUGGGUAGACUGACCUGAUCCGGUCCUGGAACCGAGACAGGAAGCGAGUG